GAAUAAAGCCAUAGCCCUUCGCCAACGACCAUACCACGUUGAAUACACCAGUUCUCGUCCGAUCACUGAAGUUUAAGCAACAUCGGGCGUAGUUAGUACUUGGAUGGGUGACCGCUUGGGAACACUACGUGCCGUUGGCAAUUUUUUUGUUUCACGUUUUUUUUUUUUCGGUAUAUUAUUAACUUCAUUUUAAUUGAAUUUUUUUUUUUUUAUCUUUUUAAGUUUUCUUUAAUUUUAGGAACACUACGUGCCGAAAGGGGACAAAAAAAACGUCCUUCAAUAUUUCCGCAUGUACUGACUUAUAUUUAUACUCAAACUUACUUGUACUUGUGUUUUAUACGACUUGGAUAAUUAUUUGGGUAAUUUAAUUUGAGUCUGCACGCAACGAUAAAUAAAAAAUGAUUCACAACAGAAUAUUGUUGAUUCCUGGUUACCACAGCUGACCCAAUAAUCAACAAAAAUUAUACACGGAAAUUUCAAGUCAUGGUCAUAGCAAAACCAAUACAUUCCCAAUCUAAUUUUAAUCAACAAUUCCGAUGCGUUAGCGUAAACUCGAAACGCGAAAAACGUUUUAAAACUAUCCCAAUGUUCAUCGGAACGAGAUACACUACACGAGUGCAAUAAAAUAAAGUCCCAACUGAUUGUAUAAUUAAAAUAUAACGUUUUUAACACCUCCUGUACAUUUUUCGGGUCCCAGUUUCAAUGAACCGAUCAACAAAAAUUAAAAUAUUAUAAAAUCAGUUAGCGUUAGCGGGACGUUUAAAUGACUUGAUAAAGUCAUAGCCCUUCGCCAACGACCAUACCACGUUGAAUACACCAGUUCUCGUCCGAUCACUGAAGUUAAGCAACGUCNGCCGU